UCCGUAGGUGGAAGGUUAAGUCAGAGGUGAAAUCCUGCAGCUCAACUGUAGAAUUGCCUUUGAUACUGGCUUUCUUGAAUUUAUUGGUGAAGUAGCUAGAAUAUGUAGUGUAGCGGUGAAAUGCAUAGAUAUUACAUAGAAUACCGAUUGCGAAGGCAGGUUACUAACAAUAUAUUGACACUGAUGGACGAAAGCGUGGGUAGCGAACG
rnacentral:rRNA from 1 species